rnacentral:rRNA from 1 species
UGGGGAAUAUUGCGCAAUGGGCGAAAGCCUGACGCAGCAACGCCGCGUGAGUGAUGAAGGCCUUCGGGUUGUAAAGCUCUUUCGGCGGGGACGAAACGGUUCGUGACAACACCACGGACUAAUGACGGUACCCGCAUAAGAAGCACCGGCUAACUACGUGCCAGCAGCCGCGGUAAUACGUAGGGUGCAGGCGUUAAUCGGAAUUACUGGGCGUAAAGCGUGCGCAGGCGGUUUGUUAAGACAGGUGUGAAAUCCCCGGGCUUAACCUGGGAAUUGCGCUUGUAACUGGCAGGCUAGAGUGUGGCAGAGGGGGGUGGAAUUCCACGUGUAGCAGUGAAAUGCGUAGAUAUGUGGAGGAACACCGAUGGCGAAGGCAGCCCCCUGGGUUAACACUGACGCUCAUGCACGAAAGCGUGGGGAGCAAACAGGAUUAGAUACCCCAGUAGUCCCUGAGCGGGCUGGCAAGGCGCAU